AAGUCAAAUGAGUUUGCCUGAUCCAAGGUCCCAAAAAAAGGCAAUUUUGUUGUGGAUAUUGCUGAGAAUAUUGUAUUUUUAAUUCAUGCAAUGAAACUAAAUACAUUAGUAUUGGGAAUAAAAGUAUGCAAAAUUACCAUUUUGAUGGAUUAUGUACACUGAUCUUUGCAGAAGUUGGUUUAGCAAUUUAUCAAUAAAUUUCUGUAUUCAAUGAGUCUUAUUUCCAAUGCAUUUAUUGGAAUGUCCACUAACAUUCUUUAAAAUUUCAUAAAAUUCUGGGAUGGUCUUUGAUUCAUCUGAAUUUGAACUUUUGCUUAUUUCCUGGCAUAUGAAAUUGUAGGAUUUUAUCCUCAACCAGCGGAUAAUCUGUUGGUAGGUUGUUUGGUAUAGGAGAACAAAAUCUGGAAAAGAUCUCGUUUGCGAUUUUGGUCAGAGAAGCCUGUGUAUGGAUACAUGGUGGUCACCCUUUUUCCAUGAAAUAUCAUUGAAAAGCAACUCCUGAUUUCAGAGCUGUGCGAGUCAGUUUCGACAAUGACACCAAAACUAUUUGCGCAUGGGAUAAUGACUCAUAUCCCAAUGAUGCAAACUUUAGUAAUCUAUGGGAGGUGCAUCAAGUUUCAGUUCAAGAACGGUGCUACUUUUUGUGUUAAGGUUGAAAUGCCAUUUUUCAUUAUAGAGCUACCCAAGAAAGAAAUCAAGCAUUGUUAAAGGAUGUGUUAUCUUCCUUUCUUCUUUUAUUUUGUUUUGACCCUAAACUUAAUUGUUGGUGGAUUACACCAUACAUCUGAUUGUUACAUUGUAACAAUUAUGCCAAGGUUGCUUGUUGAUUACUAAGAAAUAAGAAAAUUUGUCUCAAGAAAAUGGUACUCGAGAUAAACAAACUUUUUACAACAGUAAGCUUGGAAAUUGUAGUUGGGUUCCUCUUCUCUUUCUCUUGAUGCCAACUGCUCCGGCGACCAGCACCGGGUUUGUUUGCACCAUUACAAGUCACGUGGUUCAAGUGAUCGGUGGGAUUCAUUUUUUUGGUUGUGCGGUUCAAGUGAUCGGUGGUUUCAAUUUAAGGUAUCAAUUGUUACUAUGAUCACAUCAAUGGCUUACAAUCUGAUAAUAUGUCACUUUUUU